UACGAAGGGGGCUAGCGUUGCUCGGAAUCACUGGGCGUAAAGGGUGCGUAGGCGGGUCUUUAAGUCAGGGGUGAAAUCCUGGAGCUCAGCUCCAGAACUGCCUUUGAUACUGAAGAUCUUGAGUUCGGGAGAGGUGAGUGGAACUGCGAGUGUAGAGGUGAAAUUCGUAGAUAUUCGCAAGAACACCAGUGGCGAAGGCGGCUCACUGGCCCGAUACUGACGCUGAGGUGCGAAAGCGUGGGGAGCAAACAGG
rnacentral:rRNA from 1 species